CAUUUAUUCUUAAGUUCUUAUGACUCUUUUCUUAUUCUUUCUUCUUGUAAUUUCUCUUGUUUUCAUACUUGAUUCUAUUGUGUAGGUCUAAUCAAAGAUGAGACUCCAACAAAAUCACCCGAUUCUGGUUGAUCCGAGGUAUGAAGAAUCCAAACUUGAACUUUCCAUGAAGUCUUCUAAGGCUUAACAUCUCAAAGGAAUGCCAAGGCUGCAGCCAUUGGCAAUACUUUUUGUGUGUUAAGCGACUUUUAAAGGAGGAAUGGCCAAAACGACAUUCACGUGAAGCCCAACAACGACAUACAAACCGGGUUAUAAGUGAAAGGACGCAGAUCAUUGUCGGGUCGGGUAAUGUCGAUUGUUGAUUUCUGACAAAAUUACCUUUCUCAAUUUCAAUAAACACUCUCCUUCAUAACUAAUUGA